GGCUCCAUAGUGUAGUGGUUAGCACAUCUGCUUUACAUGCAGAAGGUGGACCCU
rnacentral:tRNA from 1 species